rnacentral:rRNA from 1 species
GACGAACGCUGGCGGCGUGCCUAAUACAUGCAAGUUGAGCGAUGAAGCUUGGUGCUUGCACCAAUUUGAAGAGCAGCGAACGGGUGAGUAACGCGUGGGGAAUCUGCCUUUGAGCGGGGGACAACAUUUGGAAACGAAUGCUAAUACCGCAUAACAACUUUAAACAUAAGUUUUAAGUUUGAAAGAUGCAAUUGCAUCACUCAAAGAUGAUCCCGCGUUGUAUUAGCUAGUUGGUGAGGUAAAGGCUCACCAAGGCGAUGAUACUUAGCCGACCUGAGAGGGUGAUCGGCCACAUUGGGACUGAGACACGGCCCAAACUCCUACGGGAGGCAGCAGUAGGGAAUCUUCGGCAAUGGACGAAAGUCUGGCCGAGCAACGCUGCGUGAGUGAAGAAGGUUUUCGGAUCGUAAAACUCUGUUGGUAGAGAAGAACGUUGGUGAGAGUGGAAAGCUCAUCAAGUGACGGUAACUACCCAGAAAGGGACGGCUAACUACGUG